UACGAAGGGGGCGAGCGUUGUUCGGAAUUACUGGGCGUAAAGGGCGCGUAGGCGGCGAACCAAGUCAGAUGUGAAAGUCCUGGGCUUAACCUGGGGACUGCAUUUGAUACUGGUUUGCUUGAAUUCGGGAGAGGAUAGCGGAAUUCCCAGUGUAGAGGUGAAAUUCGUAGAUAUUGGGAAGAACACCGGUGGCGAAGGCGGCUAUCUGGACCGACAUUGACGCUGAGGCGCGAAAGCGUGGGGGAGCAAACAGGAUUAAGAUACCC
rnacentral:rRNA from 1 species